rnacentral:tRNA from 1 species
GUCGGGAUAUCUCAGUUGGUAGAGCAGAGGACUGAAAAUCCUCGUGUCACCAGUUCA